GCCCUCUUAGCUCAGUGGUAGAGCGCACCACUCGUACGAGCUUGAAAAGCUUCGAACAAGCAAUGGUGAGGUCGGUUGUUCAAUCCAGCCAGGGGGCA